GUCCACGCCCUAAACGAUGCUGACUAGUUGUUCGGGAUUUACAUCCUGAGUAACGUAGCUAACGCGUGAAGUCAGCCGCCUGGGGAGUACGGUCGCAAGAUUAAAACUCAAAGGAAUUGACGGGGACCCGCACAAGCGGUGGAUGAUGUGGAUUAAUUCGAUGCAACGCGAAAAACCUUACCUACCCUUGACAUGUGACUAACGAAGUAGAGAUACAUUAGGUGCUCGUAAGAGAAAGUCAACACAGGUGCUGCAUGGCUGUCGU
rnacentral:rRNA from 1 species